rnacentral:rRNA from 1 species
GAUGAACGCUGGCGGCGUGCCUAAUACAUGCAAGUCGAGCGAACAGAUAAGGAGCUUGCUCCUUUGACGUUAGCGGCGGACGGGUGAGUAACACGUGGGUAACCUACCUAUAAGACUGGAAUAACUCCGGGAAACCGGGGCUAAUGCCGGAUAACAUUUAGAACCGCAUGGUUCUAAAGUGAAAGAUGGUUUUGCUAUCACUUAUAGAUGGACCCGCGCCGUAUUAGCUAGUUGGUAAGGUAACGGCUUACCAAGGCAACGAUACGUAGCCGACCUGAGAGGGUGAUCGGCCACACUGGAACUGAGACACGGUCCAGACUCCUACGGGAGGCGGCAGUAGGGAAUCUUCCGCAAUGGGCGAAAGCCUGACGGAGCAACGCCGCGUGAGUGAUGAAGGUCUUCGGAUCGUAAAACUCUGUUAUUAGGGAAGAACAAAUGUGUAAGUAACUGUGCACGUCUUGACGGUACCUAAUCAGAAAGCCACGGCUAACUACGUG